AGAUUUAAUUUCUCGAUUUUCCUUGAGAUUCUUAGCAAUCUCCAAGAGUUGCCAAUGAGAGAGCUCCGUGGCGACUUUUGGCGCGCAAUGUCAGUCUUGUGUGGAAAGUGAACAAGGGAGGACGUGUGAUCGCUGCCGGCUUGGAAAAUUCUACUGCGCAAUUAUUACGAUUAUCCGAUCGAUGUAUUGGUCAGAAAGGCGGGAAAAAUUCCAACAUGGACGCCAUUAUAUCUUUUCAAAAGGAAGCUUGAUUUUCUGCUCAUGUAUUGUAUGUAUUUAUUCUAUAUUUGUUCUAUAUUUCGAUCGUUAUUAUAUCAUAUACUUUAUCAUUACGUGAAAAUAUAUUUCAUCUUAUAUA